CUACCGGGCGACCGGAUGCGGAUCUCGAAAGCCUGUCCCAGUUCGGACUGGAGUCUGCAACCCGACUCCACGAAGUUGGAUUCGCUAGUAAUCGCGCAUCAGCCAUGGCGCGGUGAAUACGUUCCCGGGCCUUGUACACACCGCCCGUCAAGCCAUGGGAGCCGGGGGCGCCUGAAGUCCGGGACCGCGAGGACCGGCCUAGGGCGAAACUGGUAACUGGGGCUAAGUCGUAACAAGGUAAC
rnacentral:rRNA from 1 species